rnacentral:rRNA from 1 species
GACAGAGGGUGCAAACGUUGUUCGGAAUUACUGGGCGUAAGGCGCGUGUAGGCUGCUUGGAAAGUCGGGUGUGAAAGCCCCGGGCUCAACCCGGGAAGUGCACUCGAAACUUCCGAGCUUGAGUUCUGGAGAGGGUGGCGGAAUUCUCGGUGUAGAGGUGAAAUUCGUAGAUAUCGAGAGGAACACCGGUGGCGAAGGCGGCUACCUGGACAGUGACUGACGCUGAGACGCGAAAGCGUGGGGAGCAAACAGG